AUAGUUAAGCUACUAAGGGCGUACGGUGGAUGCCUUGGCGCGAAAUGCCGAAGAAGGACGUGGAACACUGCGAUAAGCCUCGGGGAGCCGUGUGCAGGCUGCGAUCCGGGGAUGUCCGAAUGGGGAAACCUGGCGUCGGGACGCAAGUCUCCGAUGUCAUCCCUUGGCUGAACACAUAGGCCUGGGGAAGGGAACCUGGGGAACUGAAACAUCUUAGUACCCAGAGGAAAAGAGAUCAUUCCGCUAGUAGUGGCGAGCGAACGCGGAACAGCCCAAACCGGCUCAGCUUGCUGGGCCGGGGUUGUAGGACCGGCAUAUGGGAGUGAUAAAUCGGCGGGUUAGCAGAAUGGUGUUGAAAAGCCUACCAUAGAGGGUGCUAGUCCCGUAUGCGAAAAUCAGCCGACUCCUGCCGGGAUCCUGAGUACCACCGGGCACGCUAAUCCGGUGGGAAGCUGGGGAGUCCACUCUCCAAGGCUAAAUACAUAUCGCGACCGAUAGUGAACAAGUACCGUGAGGGAAAGGUGAAAAGAACCCCUGUUAGGGGAGUGAAAUAGAACCUGAAACCGUGCGCUUACAAGCGGUCGGAGGGCUAAUAGCGGGUCUGUGUCCCCGGGAAACCGGGAGAUGCGCCGCUAUGCCUGACGGCGUGCCUUUUGGAGAAUGAGCCGGCGAGUUAAUCUCUGUGGCGAGGUUAAGGGAUGCACACCCGAAGCCGUAGCGAAAGCGAGUCUGAAUAGGGCGCCAGAGUCGCAGGGAUUAGACACGAAACCAAGUGAGCUACCCAUGGCCAGGGUGAAGCGAGUCUAAACGCUCGUGGAGGCCCGAACCUUUCGCUGUUGCAAAAGCGUGGGAUGAGCUGUGGGUAGAGGUGAUAUGCCAAACGAACUUGGAGAUAGCUUGUUCUCCCCGAAAUAGCUUUAGGGCUAGCGUCACGCGUUCAGUAUCGGAGGUAGAGCACUGGAUGGGCUAGGGGGCUUAUCGCUUACCAAACCUUACCAAACUCCGAAUGCCGAUACUUCAGAGCGUGGCAGUCGGACCAUGGGAGAUGAGUUUCAUGGUCGAGAGGGAAAGAGCCCAGACCAUCGGCUAAGGUCCUUAAGUCUGAGCUAAGUGGGAAACGAUGUGGGAUUGUUCAGACAGCCAGGAGGUUGGCUUAGAAGCAGCCAUCCUUUAAAGAGUGCGUAACAGCUCACUGGUCAAACGAUCCUGCGCGGAUAAUGUAACGGGGCUUAAGCUCAGCACCGAAGCCAUGGGUUUCAAUCACCUGCGGGUGAUUGGAGCGGUAGGGGAGCGUUCUGCCUGCGCGGAAGGUCGACCGAAAGGACGGCUGGAGCGGGCAGAAGUGAGAAUGCCGGCAUGAGUAGCGUAAAACACGUGAGAACCGUGUUCGCCGUAUGUCUAAGGUUUCCGACGGAAGGUCAAUCCGCGUCGGGUUAGUCGGGCCUUAGCCGAGGCCGAGAGGCGUAGGCGAUGGACAUCCGGUCAAUAUUCCGGAACCACCUGGGAGGAGCGAUGGGGGGACGCAGCGAGGUAGGCCAGCCUGUGAUUGGUCGUGCAGGUGCUAAGCGUGUAGGCGAUGAUGGGCACAGGCAAAUCCGUGCCCGGAGCUGAGGCGCGAUGGCGAGCCCCUGAGGCGGAAGUGGUUGAGCCUUGCUGCCAAGAAAAACCUCUAAGCGAUGAACCCCGGGUGACCGUACCGCAAACCGACACUGGUAGACGGGUAGAGUAUACCAAGGCGAACGGGAGAACCCUCGUUAAGGAACUAGGCAAAUUGGCCCCGUAACUUCGGGAGAAGGGGCGCCUCCCCCUGUGAAUCUAAUUCUGGUGGAGCUAGGGGAGGUCGCAGUGAAAUGGCUCUGGUGACUGGUUACCAAAACCACAGGUCUCUGCUAAGCCGUAAGGCGAUGUAUAGGGGCUGACGCCUGCCCAGUGCCGGAAGGUUAAAGGGAAGGGUUAGCUUUCGAGCGAAGCUCAGAACUGAAGCCCCGGUGAACGGCGGCCGUAACUAUAACGGUCCUAAGGUAGCNNNNNNNNNNNNNNNNNNNNNGAUGCGCGUUACCCGCAGCAGGACAAAAAGACCCCGUGGAGCUUUACUAUAGCUUGGCAUUGAGUUUGGGCUUAGCUUGUGUAGGAUAGGUGGGAGGCUGUGAAGCCGGGGCGCCAGCUUCGGUGGAGCCAAAAGUGGAAUACCACCCUGGUUAAGUUAGGGCUCUAACCCCUGACCGUUAUCCGGCAGGGGGACAGUGCCUGGUGGGUAGUUUGACUGGGGCGGUCGCCUCCUAAAAGGUAACGGAGGCGCCCAAAGGUUCCCUCAGGCUGAAUGGAAACCAGCCGUAGAGUGUAAAGGCAUAAGGGAGCUUGACUGCAAGACCUACAAGUCGAGCAGAGACGAAAGUCGGGCUUAGUGAUCCCACGGUACCGAGUGGAAGGGCCGUGGCUUACCGGAUAAAAGCUACCCCGGGGAUAACAGGCUNNNNNNNNNNNNNNNNNNNNNNNNNNNNNNNNNNNNNNNNNNNNNNNNNNNNNNNNNNNNNNNNNNNNAUCGCUGGGUAGCUACGUCUGGCAGAGAUAACCGCUGAAAGCAUCUAAGUGGGAAACUCGCCCCAAGAUUAGGUCCCUCAUCCCGUUAAGGGAGUAAGGCCGCAGGAAGACUACCUGCUUGAUAGGCAGCAAGUGUAAGCGCAGUAAUGCGUUCAGCUAAGGUGUACUAAUGGCCGAGGGCUUAACUGU
rnacentral:rRNA from 1 species